CCGUAUCUGAUGGGGAAACGCGGAUUGACGUAACACCUGUUUGAACGCCCCACCAUCCGUCUCAGUUGCCGAGUCCUUGGGCAAGAUAUUUCACUCGAUAUGCUCGUAUUAUCCAGAAGGGGGCGGUAAUGCAAUAAUGUGAAUGCAGACGGUCAUAAAAUCCCAAAGAAGAAGAAUAGGAGGAAGAACAACAAGAUGGCGCAUAGUUUGUUUUGCUGCAUUUUUCGAGAGUUUGUCUAAAGUUUCUCAACGAGCACAAUGAACUUUCACAGAGUUUAAAGGAAUCAUCGUCAAGUUGAAGGAAGAGAUGGAUGAUCAGCGCAGACUGCUGGAUUUCUCCCGAACUCCCCGGAUUAUUUUACACCGAAUAGAUUACCUGCUACAUAAUGUUAAGGAGGAGCUAUGGAAGCAGGAGAGGAGAUCCACUCUGGACCAGGAGGAGUCAGAACCUCUGCAGGUGAAACAAGAACA